GGUCAUGUCUAGGUUUCAUGAAAAUACAGUCACGUAAUUAGGUUAUCAUCAUUUCACGAUGAUUGCCAUCGAUUUUAUGCGUUGACCGAUACAUACGCAGUAUGUAAUUAAUGAAAGGAUCGCUGGAGGAAGUACAAGCCGGACAAGUGAACACUCUCAGAGGAUAGAGCUAAACAAGAAUGAGUGUGACUCCUGGUGUGCCCCCAAAGUCUAAUAAUGCUGCAGAUAAACGUUCCGAAGACCACAAGGAGUCUUCAAGUCCGAGCCAACGUGAGGAAGCCGAAGCAUGUCCUCUGACAAAGGAAUGUAAUCUGCCUGCUGCUGACAUUGGUAACAAACAGGGUCAGGACCACCGGGGAUGCCCUGUGGUCCAACAUGGGAGCUGUCAUCAAACACAUGAACAGCCUACUGGAGCUGACAGUGUAGUUGAGGGAGUAGAUGGCAGUCGCCAACACCAACCAAUAGUCACAAGCAACAAACAUUUGGACCAGAGGCAGGCAAGGAAGGACAUUGAUCCCAAUGACCAAGAAGGGUCUUCUCAUACCCACCAGCAUGGGCACCCAGGAGUCGCAUCUUCUGCCGAGAGCCAAGACCAAGAAAGCAGAAAGCCCUCCAGAAAAAGUGAUCACAAGGACAGAAAGGCAUCUGGGACGAGUCAAGGGGAAAAAGAAGGCAGGAGACCAUCCAGAAAGAGUCAAGAUCAGGAUGGCAGAAGGAUAUCCAAAAGCAGUGUCCAUGGUGACAAAGAGGGAAGGCGAUCUUCAAGGACAAGUCAAGGGCAAGAUGGCAGACGGACAUCUUCAGGAGCUAGUCAACAUGGCCGGAGAGUGUCAGGGGCAGCCUCUGGAUUAGAGGUAAUGGCCGAGCUGGGCAACUCCAAGGACAAGCCACAUCGUACGGUCGACGACUUAAAGAAGGGAGGUUGGGGUAGACUGAAUUCUCUUUGAAUGCACCUUUUAAGUCUCAGCUACCAUUGGAAUCGGAGUGCUCUUCUGAUGAACUUUGAGCAAUGCAAGAACUGAACUCUUUGUGCACCACAACCAGCAUACGGUGGGUUAUGGCCUUCAAGGUGCAAGGUUGAACAUUUCAUGUACUCGGGAGAUAAUGACAUUGGAACUUUAACAAGACAAUUUAUAUAGCAAUGGAAUUUAUUAUUUUUACAUGUACUGCAUGAGGAAAUAUUGUAUAUAUUACAAUACAUACACUUGGAUUACAACCAUUGGCCUCGAGUCAUUAUGACUAUAAGCAUUAGGACCAAAAUUACUUCAAGACCGCACAGCCAUCAUUUUUUCAACUCCCUAACCAUUCCUUCCAAGUCCGAGGUUAAGUGAUGGAAGAUGUCUCAUCACCAAGAACAAAACUAGACAUGAUGUAAUCUUUGUUAUAACACAGCCAAAAUGUCACUUUUUAACUCCCCCAGGUAUAACAUUGUGAUACAGAUGACAGAGAUGUAAAAAAAAUUACCAGAUAUCGCAAAA